GACGAACGCUGGCGGCGUGCCUAAUACAUGCAAGUCGAACGGAGUGGGGACGGGUGAGUAACACGUGGGUAACCUCGCAUACGAGGGGAAAACACUUGGAAACAGGUGCUAAACCGAUACUGAUGGAUGGACGCGCGGUGAAUUAGCUAGUUGGUGAGGGAACGGAUCACCAAGGCUACGAUGCAUAGCCGACCUGAGAGGGUGAUCGGCCACACUGGGACGGAGACACGGCCCAGACUCCGACGGGAGGCAGCAGUAGGGAAUCUUCGGCAAUGGACGAAAGUCUGACCGAGCAACGCCGCGUGAGUGAAGAAGGUUUUCGGAUCGUAAAACUCUGUUGUUAGAGAAGCGGUAUCUAACCAGAAAGCCACGGCUAACUACGUGCCAGCAGCCGCGGUAAUUC
rnacentral:rRNA from 1 species